GACGUAGGGCGCGAGCGUUGUCCGGAUUUAUUGGGCGUAAAGAGCUCGUAGGCGGCUUGUUGCGUCGACCGUGAAAACCCGGGGCUCAACUUCGGGCUUGCGGUCGAUACGGGCGGGCUAGAGUUCGGUAGGGGAGACUGGAAUUCCUGGUGUAGCGGUGAAAUGCGCAGAUAUCAGGAGGAACACCGGUGGCGAAGGCGGGUCUCUGGGCCGGUACUGACGCUGAGACGCGAAAAGCGUGGGGAGCGAACAGG
rnacentral:rRNA from 1 species